rnacentral:rRNA from 1 species
UACGGAGGGUGCAAGCGUUAUCCGGAUUUACUGGGUUUAAAGGGUGUGUAGGCGGACUUUUAAGUCAGCGGUGAAAUCUCCGGGCUCAACCGGAACUGCCAUUGAUACUAUUAGUCUUGAAUAUUGUUGAGGUAGGCGGAACGGGUCAUGUAGCGGUGAAAUGCAUAGAUAUGACCCGGAACACCGAUGCGAAGGCAGCCUACUAA